rnacentral:rRNA from 1 species
UACGUAGGGUGCAAGCGUUAAUCGGGAUUACUGGGCGUAAAGCGUGCGCAGGCGGUGAUGUAAGACAGAUGUGAAAUCCCCGGGCUCAACCUGGGAACUGCAUUUGUGACUGCAUCGCUGGAGUACGGCAGAGGGGGAUGGAAUUCCGCGUGUAGCAGUGAAAUGCGUAGAUAUGCGGAGGAACACCGAUGGCGAAGGCAAUCCCCUGGGCCUGUACUGACGCUCAUGCACGAAAGCGUGGGGAGCAAACAGG